CGCACAUUGCGCCCGCCAGUAUUCUGGCGGGCAUGCCUGUCUGAGCGUCAUUUCAACCCUCGGGAUCCCCUUUGCAGGGGCGCCCGGUGUUGGGGAUCGCCCGCCUGUCCAGGCGGUCGUCCCCCAAAAGUAUUGGCGGUCUCGCUGUAGCCUCCUCUGCGCAGUAGCAACUGUUCUCGCAGGCGGAGCGCGGUGUGGCCUCGCCGUAAAACCCCCAACUUUCACAAGGUUGACCUCGGAUCAGGUAGGAAUACCCGCUGAACUUAA
rnacentral:misc_RNA from 1 species